AUUGAACGCUGGCGGCAUGCCUUACACAUGCAAGUCGAACGGCAGCACGGGUGCUUGCACCUGGUGUCGAGUGGCGAACGGGUGAGUAAUACAUCGGAACAUGUCCUGUAGUGGGGAAUAGCCCGGCGAAAGCCGGAUUAAUACCGCAUACGAUCUACGGAUGAAAGCGGGGGACCUUCGGGCCUCGCGCUAUAGGGUUGGCCGAUGGCGGUUUAGCUAGUUGGUGGGGUAAAGGCCUACCAAGGCGACGAUCAGUAGCUGGUCUGAGAGGACGACCAGCCACACUGGGACUGAGACACGGCCCAGACUCCUACGGGAGGCAGCAGUGGGGAAUUUUGGACAAUGGGCGAAAGCCUGAUCCAGCAAUGCCGCGUGUGUGAAGAAGGCCUUCGGGUUGUAAAGCACUUUUGUCCGGAAAGAAAUCCUUGGCCCUAAUACGGUCGGGGGAUGACGGUACCGGAAGAAUAAGCACCGGCUAACUACGUG
rnacentral:rRNA from 1 species